GGUGGCUUCCACCAUACUGUUCUCAUGGUAGAGAAUAAGUCUCACGAGAUCUGAUGGUUUUAUCAGGGGUUUCCACUUCUGCGUCUUCCUCAUUCUCUGUUUGCCUGCUGCCAUCCAUGUAAGACGGGACUCCUUCCUCCUUGCCUUUCGCCAUGAUUGUGAGGCUCCCCAAGCCACGUGGAACUCAGAGUUGAUGACACACCAAAAGUGUGAACGGCAAAAGAAAGAAAUGGAUAACUUGGACUUUAUCAAAAUGAAAACUUUUGUGAAUCAAAGAACAUUAUCAAGAAUGUGAAAAGACCACCCACAGGACGGGAGAAAAUAUUUGCAAAUCAUAUGUAUUAGUCCAUUUUCACACUGUUAUAAAGAACUACCUAAGACUGGGUAAUUUAUAAAGACAAGAAGUUUAAUUGACUCACAGUUCUGCUUGGCUGGGGAGGCCUCAGGAAACUUACAAUCAUGGUGGAAGGCAAAGGGGAAGCGAGGCUUGUCUUACAUGGUGGCAGGAGAGAGAGAUCCAAGGGGAAGUGUCAACCACUUUUAAACCAUUAGAUCUUGUGAAAACUCACUCACUAUCAUGAGAACAGCAUGAGGGAAACCACUCUUAUGAUCCAGUCACCUCGCACCAGGUCCCUCCCUCGACAGGUGGGGAUUACAAUUUGAGAUGAGAUUUGGGUGGGGACACAGAGCCAACCCAUAUCAUCAUGUAUCUGAUAAGUAUCUAGUAUCCAGAAUUUGUAAGGAACUAUUAGAUUUGACUACAAAAAGACAACUCAAUUAACAAACGGGCAAACGACUUGAAUAGAUAUUCUCCACAGAAGGUACACAAAGGGCCAAGAAACAUGAAAAGAUGUCCCGCGUCACAAUCAUUGGUGAAAUGCAAAUCAAAACCUCUAUGAGACACUACCUCACGCCCACUAGGAUGGCUAUUAUUUUUUAAAAAGAGAGAAUAACAAGGGUUGGCAAGGGAUGUGGAGAAAUUGGAGCCUGUAUACAUUGCUGGUGGGAAUGUGAAAUGGUGCAGCUGCUGUGGAAACUGGUUUGGCAUUUCCUCAAAAAGUUAAACAUAGAAUUACCAGACGGCCCAGCAAUUCCGCUCCUAGGUAUAUUCCCUAAAGCACUGAAAACAGGAACUCUGACAGAUACACACACAUUCAUAGCAGCAUUAUUCACAAUGGCUAAAAGGUGAGGACAACCCAAUGCCAUCAAUGGAUAAAUGAAUAAACUGUGGUCUGUCCACACAAUGGAAUAUUAUUCAGCUAUAAAAAGGAAUGAAAUUCGGAUACAUGCCACAGCAUGGCUGAAACGCAGAAAACAUAACUGUGUGAAAGAAACCAGACACAAAAGCCUACAUUUUGUAUGAUUCUAUUUAUACAAAAUUUCCUUUUGGGGUGAUGAAAAUAUUUUGGAACAAGAUAGAGGUGAUGGUUUCACAACAACUUGAAGGUACUUAACUUAACGUCACUGAAUUGUUCACUGUAAAAUGAUCGAUUUUGUUAAGUCCAUUUCACUUCGAUUUUAAAAAGUGAAGUUGAGCUAUUUUAAUGUGUUCAAGAACCAUAUGUACUUCCUUGUCUUUGACCUGGUGAUAUCAUUUGACCAUUUUUCUAUUGAGUUAUUGAUUUUUAGAACUGAUUUGUAAUUCCACUUUUUAAAGAAAAUGAUCCUGUGUGAUAGAUUGCAAAUCUUUUUCUCAGUUUUUAAUUUUUUUUUUUCUGAAUUGGGUUAUGGUGAAUUUUGCUCUGAAUAUUAAAAAAAUAAUACAGUAAUUA
rnacentral:lncRNA from 1 species